UACGGAGGGGGCGAGCGUUAUUCGGAAUUAUUGGGCGUAAAGGGCGCGUAGGCGGCCCUGUAAGUCAAAGGUGAAAUCCCUCGGCUCAACUGAGGAACUGCCUUUGAAACUGCAGGGCUUGAGGCCGGGAGGGGGUAGCGGAAUUCCCAAUGUAGCGGUGAAAUGCGUAGAUAUCGGGAGGAACACCAGUGGCGAAGGCGACUACCUGGCCUGUUCUUGACGCUGAGGCGCGAAAGCUAGGGGAGCAAACGGG
rnacentral:rRNA from 1 species